rnacentral:rRNA from 1 species
CCUACGGGCGGCAGCAGUGAGGAAUAUUCGUCAAUGGACGAGAGUCUGAACCAGCCAAGUAGCGUGAAGGAUGACUGCCCUAUGGGUUGUAAACUUCUUUUAUAAAGGAAUAAAACGAGGCACGUGUGCCUUUUUGCAUGUACUUUAUGAAUAAGGAUCGGCUAACUCCGUGCCAGCAGCCGCGGUAAUACGGAGGAUCCGAGCGUUAUCCGGAUUUAUUGGGUUUAAAGGGAGCGUAGAUGGGUUGUUAAGUCAGUUGUGAAAGUUUGCGGCUCAACCGUAAAAUUGCAAUUGAUACUGGCAGUCGUGAGUACAGUUGAGGUAGGCGGAAUUCGUGGUGUAGCGGUGAAAUGCUUAGAUAUCACGAAGAACCCCGAUUGCGAAGGCAGCUUACUAAACUGUGACUGACAUUGAUGCUCGAAAGUGUGGGUAUCAAACAGGAUUAGAUACCCUUGUAGUC